CGCUCACCCGCUCGCUCUCUCGCUCCUCCUCCAUGCUGGGCACCAGUGCUGCCGGCUCCAGCAUGGCGAGGGAGCCGAGGCACGGACAGGUGGGUGAGUGAGGAGGACUUUUGGAGCCCUCCUGGCUCACCCACUCGCUGCCUGGCUCCUCCUCCAUGCUGGCCGCCGGUGCUGCCGGGAGCCGAGGGAGCCGAGGCACAGGCGGGUGGGUGAGCGAGGAGGACUUUUGGGGCCCUCCUCGCUCACCCGCCCGCUCGUGCCUCGGCUCCCUCGCUUGCUGGAGCCGGCAGCACCAGCGUCCAGCAUGGAGGAGGAGCGAGCGGGGAAGGGAUGCAUGCCACUCACUAGUGCCAGGCCUGGAGAGGAGGAGCAAGAAAGCCGCCACGCCUAGAGCCCCGAGGUACGCCAGGACCCAGCAUCCGCGUCGCAGCCACCGGAGACAAACGUGGCCCCAGGAGCUAGGCAUCGCCAUCUCGGCCAAAGGGACACGCAAAGCGCAUGCGCCAGAAAACACACCUGUCGGGGCGUGGCCGGAGCCUGGCAAGGGGGCGGGGCUUGGCGCGCCUCUACAGGGGGCGGGGCCUCUGUGUUUAGCCCCUGAAGCAAAGGAGAGAGGAAGCGAGGCAAGACGCUCUCUGAAUACAGCGUGUUCUAUGGCCCAAGCACGUGUAGGAAAGGGCCGUUAAUGCUGCCCCCGUCCAUUCAGUACUCCAGGUCUGAAUCGUGUGCACAAGGUUACAAUUCUUGAGUACUCGCCACUGGCCCGUUUAUUACCAGGAAACAGUACAGACAGUGGGUUGCUGUGAGCUUUCCGUCCUGUAUGGCCAUGUUCCAGAAGCAUUCUCUCCUGACGUUUCGCCUGUAUCUAUGGCAGGCAUCCUCAGAGGUUGUGAGGCAUGGAGAAACUAGGCAAGUGGGGUUUAUAUAUUUGCGGAAUAUCCAAGGUAGGAGAAAGUACUCUUAUUUAUUUGAGGCAAGUGUGAAUUGCUGCAACUGAUCGCCUUGAUUAGCAGUGAAAAGCCUUGCAGCUUCAAAGCUUGGCUGCAACUUACCUGGGGGAAUCUUUUGUUGGGAUAUAAACAUACAGUAGAGUCUCACUUAUCCAACACUCACUUAUCCAACGUUCUGGAUUAUCCAACGCAUUUUUAUAGCCAAUGUUUUCAAUACAUCGUGAUAUUUUGGUGCUAAAUUCAUAAAUACAGUAAUUACUACUUAGCAUUACUGCAUAUUGAAAUAUGUUUUUUGUCAAAUUUAUUGUAUAACACGAUGUUUUGGUGCUUAAUUUGUAAAAUCAUAACUUAAUUUGAUGUUUAAUAGGCUUUUCCUUAAUCCCUCCUUAUUAUCCAACAUAGUCGCUUAUCCAACAUUCUGCUGGCCCAUUUAUGUUGGACAAGUGAGACUCUACUGUAGUUAGAAUAAUGCAAUUCUACAGAAGUGGUUGGAUUGCAAGGCAUAGCCUAAUGGCUAUGGUGGCCAGGGCUGAUGGUCGUUCUAGUUCAACACCUGGGGGGCCAUAUGAUUCUUAUCCCUGCUUUAGUGGAUUAUGCCUUUAUAAGUUUUCUGUCCUGGCAAGUUCAGGAGAUAAUGGAUGUUUUGCACCAGGUGAGAAAUGCAGGGAAACAAAGCUUUAAAAUCUUACUUCACAAGACACCUAAGAUCGGGCACUUACCAACCCAAAGGCAUUGUGCAGAUAUUCCAUCUUUUCCCCCAUUAAUAGUUUCUUUUCAGUUAAAAUAUGGUAAAGUGUCAGAAGACUGCAUGGGAAUUAUAAGUAAAUUAUAAGCCACAUUGCUCUAAUUUUGUGUAGAGGCUUGUUGUUGCAGUGAGUGCUGUAUCUGGAAACACUCUUAGCUUACCUGGUGGUUAUAUCACUUGGUAAGGUCUUCUGUAGCCACGUUUAUCAUGGGCAGAAGCAUGGGCAGAUGCCACUCUCCCACUUGGGUAGAUACUUAUUGCAGAAGUGGAAUUGUACUAUGUGUAUUCAAAGCCACUGCUUGAUUCUGUACAAGUAUAUUCAACCCUUACUUCCAUACCUCUUGUGAACAGUCUGAUGAAAUACUGUUGGACUCUGUCUCUGAAGUUGUAAGGAGUUGGGCAUUUCUUUUUCCCUGAAUAAGUCAUGGAUGCUCAGCCAUACACAACUGGCCCAUCUGCUCUUCUGAGCUGAAAAUACCUGUUGUGACUGCACCUUCGGGGACUGUGGAUGAUGGUGGUGGGAUCAGGAGAGGAAGGAAAAACCCUCGCGAGGUGGGCUCGUUGGAGGAUUUGUACAGAAAGAGAAUUAGGGACCUCAAUGGGGAGUCUUCUGAGGAAGAUUCAGAUGGGGAGUUUGUGGAAGAAAUGGAUGCUGGUGAACAGGUGGUGGCUGAGGAAGUGGGCACUGACUGGGCACGGGCACCGGAGAUGCCUGGGGAAUUGGGGCCCAUGGAUACUGCUGAACCUGGGGUAUCUUCAGAAGCAGAUCCCACUUGGUCUGUUUGGAGAAGCGAGGAUGGAUCCUCAGGUGUGCAUGGUGUUGGGUGUGGGCAGGAUGAUUGGGAUUCUGAUGAACAAUUAGGCACUCCCGAUCCACGAGCCUUAGCUGUGUGGAGUUCUGACUCUGAUUAAGGAUUUGGGACACCUGCUCUUUGGGUGUUGGUGUUUGGACACCCAGGGAGAAUUGGGAUAAAUUGGGAGUGUUUGGUCACUUCACUUUGCAUGUGGCAAGAUGUUGCUGGGCGCCAUUGGGAUUCCUGUACGUGUUUAAGAAGACUGGACUGGGACUUUGCUUCAGAUCUGCUGUUGCCUUCGUUGCCUUGGCUCUUUGUGCCAAUUUGUGGACCUAGGAUUGAUGACUACAACCUCUGACCCUGGACUGGAAUUCGACCCCGUUUCUGCCUUCGCUCUCUGAUUAGUCUACCCAUGGCUCUUGACUUCUGGCUUGCCUCCUGACCCUGCUGCUGUCUCCUGUCCUGACCCUGGAUCAACCUGACGACGUCUCUUCGCUUUGUCCUUCGACCUUCUGGCAUUACCUGCACUCUUGAAGCAGUUUGCUGCUGUUCCUGCUAUUUCGACUCUGGACCGGUUUGACGACAUCUUCUUGCACUGCCCCUUUAAAUCUCCAAAGCCUGUUGUUUGCAACAGAAAGGGUUUGGAACCAUUCUUUCCCUUUUGCACCGGCUCCAAGUUUGUUUACAAGCUCCUUUGCCCGGUUUUUGUUUCUGUUUAGAGCUUUGUGUUAAAACUGCUAGCUUGUGACUCUUGGGAGUUUUCUGGGAGUUUCCAAGUCUUUGUUUUGUUUUGGCUGCUUUUCCAAGUCAACUUAGUUUGUUUAGAGCUGAAUUGAAGCACCUUUUGUUUUAUCUGGAUUAUUUGCUUGGCUAAUCCGGUUUGGUUGCUAAAGCAUACUUUUUGAUAUAUUUUUGUUUGGACUGCUUUAAAACACUGAAAGUUAAGUGUUUAAAGCCAUCUUUUGUGUUUGUUUCUAUUUUUUGGGCUAUCUCUUGAAUAAACUCUGUUUUGCUCUCAAAUUGGCGUCUGGCUCUUGACAAUACCAUCAUUGUACUUUAUAGGAAUCUUGAUGUGCCUCAGGAAUGUAUAGGUUGCUCUGUGUCAGAAGGCCCAACAGAUCAUUUUAGGCAAGGGACCCCCAAACUAAGACCUGCAGGAUGGAUGCAGUCCUCCAAGAUCAUUUACCCGCUCCCCACCCUAAGUCUGAAAUGACUUGAACAACAAUAGAGUCUCAGUUAUCCAACACUCGCUAAUCCAACAUUCUGGAUUAUCCAACACAGUUUGCCUCCUGCCUGGAUCCACAGCUGUUUCUCUGGGCAGCAAGGACUGAACUUUUUACAUAUUUAAUUUUUGACAGUGUUGUUACUCUAAGUUCAUUUUAUGCAAUUCUAUCUUUAUUUGUAGUCAGUUAGUUAGUAGCCAGUGUUUUUGUAGUCAAUGUGUUCAAUACUUUGCGAUGUUUUGGUGCUGAAUUCGUAAAUAAAUUAAUUUCUACAUGA